UACAGAGGGUGCGAGCGUUAAUCGGAAUUACUGGGCGUAAAGCGUGCGCAGACGGUUAUGUGAGUCGGAUGUGAAAGCCCCGGGCUCAACCUGGGAAUUGCAUUCGAGACUGCAUAGCUAGGAUGCGGAAGAGGGAAGUGGAAUUUCCGGUGUAGCGGUGAAAUGCGUAGAUAUCGGAAGGAACACCAGUGGCGAAAGCGACUUCCUGGUCCAGCAUCGACGUUCAGGCACGAAAGCGUGGGGAGCAAACAGG
rnacentral:rRNA from 1 species